rnacentral:rRNA from 1 species
CCGGCGUGAGGGAUGACGGCUUCGGGUUGUAAACCUCUUUCAGUAGGGAAGAAGCGAAAAGUGACAGUACCUGCAGAAGAAGCACCGGCUAACUACGUGCCAGCAGCCGCGGUAAUACGUAGGGUGCGAGCGUUAUCCGGGAAUUAUUGGGCGUAAAGAGCUCGUAGGCGGUUUGUCGCGUCUGUCGUGAAAGUCCGGGGCUUAACCCCCGGGAUCUGCGGUGGGUACGGGCAGACUAGAGUGCAGUAGGGGCAGAGGGAAUUCCUGGUGUAGCGGUGAAAUGCGUAGAGAUCAGGAAGAACAUCGGUGGCGAAGGCGCUCUGCUGGACCAUAACUGACACUCAGGGACGAAAGCUAGGGGAGCGAAUGGGAUUAGAUACCCCAGUAGUCCUAGCCGUAAACGAUGGAUACUAGGUGUUGUCUGUAUCGACCCGGACAGUGCCGUAGCUAACGCGUUAAGUAUCCCGCCUGGGGAGUACGCACGCAAGUGUGAAACUCAAAGGAAUUGACGGGGGCCCGCACAAGCGGUGGAGUAUGUGGUUUAAUU